rnacentral:tmRNA from 1 species
GGGGGUGAAGGGUUUCGACAAAAAGCAAUUUUAAAAUAAGCAAGUCGAGGAUGUCAGUUAGCUCGCUAAAACCUGGCAAAAUAUAAGUGCAGUAAAUUUUGCACCUGCUGUAGCUUAAUACCUACGGCCAUCUCAUUUGCUGGUUCUCAAGGAGCAAAAGAGAUGUUAUAGUGCCCUUCGGGGCAAUUGAGAUAGGUGUUUUAAAUACCCAGUUAAAACACCGAAAAAAUCGGGUUAGGUUAUUCGGAUUUUUGUCUGUUUUUUAUCUCAAUAGCCGAAAAACCAACAAACAGGAUAAGCUUGUAGAUUUAUUUUAGAAAGCUUUUUGGACAGGAGUUCAACUCUCCUCACCUCCAUCU